rnacentral:rRNA from 1 species
CGGGGUUUAGCUGUCUCUUGAUUAAUUUAUUGAAAUUACUAUAUAGGUGAAAAAGCCUAUAAGAAAAAAAAGGACGAGAAGACCCUUAGAGUUUUUCUAACACCAAAUUAUUAUUUGGAGCAGUUUAGUUGGGGCAACAUAGGAGCAGAUACAAUUUAAUCUCCUUAAAUAUACAAGCCGAUAUUUAUAAACAUGUAUAAACUACCUUAGGGAUAACAGCAUAAUUUUAUUAAUAAGUUUGUGACCUCGAUGUUGGACUAGGAAACUGAAAGGCUAGCCGCCUUUUAGGGAAGUUCUGUUCGAACUAUUAUUCCU